CUCCUUUGCUCAUGAGAAGGUUCUCUGCUUCGUGGCGGGAUAUCUUCUCAUCAAACCAGCUGUCAAGUGGGAAAAAUCAUGGAGAUGUGAAUAAGGAUGUGAAUUAAGCUCUUGCACAGAGAAAGCAACAUGGGAAAAAUGUGUGU